UGUUUUUUCUAAGACCACCGUCAAGAUGUUUGGGUGACCUGAGCAGACCAACAUGACGAGACCUUCACCUUUCUUUAUUUUCAGGUUGGCUGGUCAUGUGGCUUCUUGUUUUGUGUCUCAUUAUUGUUUGGCUGCUAAUUAAGGAAAAAGAGACAACUAAGGGGCCCGAGUCAAGUUGAUUAAAACUAAA